rnacentral:rRNA from 1 species
GACGAACGCUGGCGGCGUGCCUAAUACAUGCAAGUUGAGCGCUGAAGGUUGGUACUUGUACCAACUGGAUGAGCAGCGAACGGGUGAGUAACGCGUGGGGAAUCUGCCUUUGAGCGGGGGACACCAUUGGGAAACGAAUGCUAAUACCGCAUAAAAACUUUAAACACAAUUUUUAAGUUUGAAAGAUGCAAUUGCAUCACUCAAAGAUGAUCCCGCGUUGUAUUAGCUAGUUGGUGAGGUAAAGGCUCACCAAGGCGAUGAUACAUAGCCGACCUGAGAGGGUGAUCGGCCACAUUGGGACUGAGACACGGCCCAAACUCCUACGGGAGGCAGCAGUAGGGAAUCUUCGGCAAUGGACGAAAGUCUGACCGAGCAACGCCGCGUGAGUGAAGAAGGUUUUCGGAUCGUAAAACUCUGUUGGUAGAGAAGAACGUUGGUGAGAGUGGAAAGCUCAUCAAGUGACGGUAACUACCCAGAAAGGGACGGCUAACUACGUG